UUCUUCCUUUUCCAUCUCUCCCCUGUGCUUCAAAACCAGUUUGGGUUCUACAGGUUCAUAUGUUGUGGGUCUAACUCACUUUGAUGAGAUUUUGCAAGAGGCAGAUGGUAUUAUCCUUUCCUGUGGAAAUCUUUGCUUUGAUCUUCCACCAGAGAAGUUUCAACAGCAACUGGUUGUGUUUGUGUG